rnacentral:lncRNA from 1 species
UGUACCAUCAUGAUGCCCUGGACGUCUCUCUGAUUAGCGCCUGGGUUUGUAAGUGUCCGUUUAUCUACAUGGAAACUUUUGCUCAUAUCAUUAUUUUUUUUGCGUUAGUCACCGUACUAACUUCAUUUUCCAUUUUAUGUACGAUGCUAAUUCAGAUGCGCUGACAAGAAGCGUACCUCCAUAUUGGCUUCAUAGAUCCAUCCGUAGUUAACAAAAAC